CCUAUUUUAAUUGUACUGUUGUUGCUUUUUUCUGUUUUUUGGCAGCCCUGCUGCAUCUCAUCUCGGAGCCAGGGAUGAGGUGUGAGCUGCAGUUGCAACCUCUGUCGCAGCUGUGCAACGCUAGAUCCUUUAACCUAUUGUGCCAGGCCAGGGAUCGAACCUGUGUCCUGUCAUGGCAGAGAGGCCACCAGUCCCAUUGUGCCACAGCGGGAACUCUGAGAACUCCUAUUUUAAUUUUUUAUAAUUAUUCUCUGUCAUUAUCCUAAGUUAAAUAUUUACAUUAAGAGGCAGGAGACCUUUUGUUUCUAAAGACCAGCCCAGUUCUAACAUUCUAGAAUUCCUUGAGGCCCCUGCCAUCUCUGGGGGCGUCUGAGGAGGAGACAGAGGCCUGAGGGAUGGUGGGAGGGCCUGGGGACUUGAAGCUCUUAGAGGCUGCUACUCCCCCCUCCCUCAACACACGCACACAGCCUCUGCCUUCCACCUCCCCACUACCCCUUCCUACCAUCUCAGUGGCUUUUCUAGCCUCUCUAAUUACCAGGAAUAUAGAGGGCGACUUAUGUUCUGUUUAGACCAAAAAAAAGGAGUCCAAGGCCCACAAAUGCCUGCCUCAAGGAGGGUGAUUUCCGAAUGGCACCCUGGGAGGGGCAGUGAGUGAGCAGGGUAGGGGCCAGGCCUGAUGUAGGGUGCAGCCUGACCGGGCGGCCCCAGUCGUUUUAUGAAGCCGUAGGAUUCAGGGGCACGUUCCCCAAAGUGUAAAACAGGAACCAGCCCUGACCAGGCAGUGGCCACAUGCACGUCAGGUGCUUUGUGGGCUUUACCAGGGAAAGAGGUGCCACCCCAGAUGAGUCGCAGCUCCCAGAUGAGAAGGGAUUGUGUAACCUGCCCUCACACACCACCUGAGUGAGGAUCUGGUGCUCUGGACACAGUCCAGCACAUUCCAUGCUGCACCAGGAGCUAUGUGAGGGGACAUAGGAGAAGUGGGGGCCCAGGGCCCAUUGGCCUUUGCCUGGUUUCUUGGCUUCCACUAUCAAAGGCAUCACCAGGAGUUCCCGUGGUGGCUCAGCAGUAAUGAACCCAACCAGUAUCCAUGAGGAUGCAGGUUCAAUCCCUGGCCUUGUUCAGUGAGUUAAUGAUCCAGCGUGGCCGUGAGCUGUGGUGUAGGUCACAGACAUGGCUUGGAUCCCACAUGGCUGUGGCUGUGGUAUAGGCCAGCACCUGCAGCUCCGAUUCGAUCCGUAGCCUGGGAACUUCCAUAUGCUGAAGGUGUGGCCCUAAAAAGACAAAAAGGCAUUACUGACGAGGCUAGUGAUCGGGUGGUCAGAGAACUUUAGCUCUGUCCCUGAGAAGGGCUGAUGGGGUGGGGCGAUUUAGGGUGUUCCUUAGGGAUGGGGCAGGGAGAGCAGGUUCUCUGAGGAGCCACUAGACUGAUGAUCCGUGUGUCAGGACAAACCCAGCCAGUUGUGAGAAGUGCUCAGGAGGUAGGUGUGGGCUCAGCACCAGAACUUCCACUCACAGAGCUGUCCAGAACGGAGCCAGCUGCUCUGGGCGCCCCCUCUCAGGGCUGUGCAGGCCCAGGCGUGGGGCCACCAUCAGAGGGAGGGGCUGUGGACCCUGGGCAGAAUGACCAGCCUGGUGGUCUUCCCAGAGAUCCUGCAAUGAUGGUAACAGUAGCCAAGCUGAGCACCGCCUGUGUGCACACGUCAUCUCAUUUCCCUCUGAGAAGGUAUAGUUAUUAUACUUAUGUUAUUUGAGAAAACUGAGACCCUAAUCACUUAAGCAACUUGCCCAAUCUCAUGCCUCAGGGAAGCAGCCAGACUGGCACUGAACCCAUCUGUGUGUCUGCAGAGCCUGCAUUCUUAUCUAAGACCCAGCCUGCUUCCAGCUGUCUGGGGAUCUGUGGUCCUAAAAGGAUUAGGAUGCCAGGAGCCCAAGAUAAGCAGACCAAUGGGAGAUAGCAUCCUUCUUUCCGGAGGCGUCGGUAUUUUUUCCAGGGCUCCAUCUGACAGUCAUAAGAUUUACAGACUUUUCCCUUCUUAGGAAGCAGAUCAGGAAACUUGUCCCCCUAACUAAGUGGCCACAGCCCCUAAAGACAUGGACAUCUAAAAGCAGCUCUGCUGGUCACACCCCAGCAAUGACAGACUUGGGAUUUUUAAGAGACUGGCACUAAUUAAAGGAGAAUGCUGCAGAGAAGGCCAUGACCUCAACAACCACCGCUCACCUCCCACACAGCACGGUGCUUGAGGGGCCAUUUUUCCUUCUCACAAUCAGCAGGGUUGAAAGGACCUACAUCCAAAAUGUUCAAAUUCCCAUUUUCAAACUUCAGAUCAUAUAAUUGGGAAAUUUUUGCCCAGAAAGAUUGAUGUGUGGGAUGCUACCAUCAAGCAUUAGGCAUCUCAUGGAGGGCCCACUGUGCUGCGAUGGACGACGGCGUCUCUGCAGCUCUUGGACACAGGUUCAAUCCCCAGCCCCACAAAAUGGGAUAAGGAUCCAGCAUUGCCGCAGCUAUGGUGUACGUUGCAACUGUGACUCUGAUUUGAUCCCUGGCCCUGGAACUCCAUAUACUGCAGGCUCAAAAGAAAAAAAAAAAAAAAAAGCAUCUGAUGUUCUUAUUUAAGUCUCACAAGAGUCACCUGAGGUGAGGAAACUGAGCUACAUGAAAGAAUCCCUUACUUUCCCAAGGUCACGAAGUUAUUAAGCGGUGGAGGUGGAAUUUGAAUCCAGAUCUGCUGAAGUCCAGAGCAGAGCCGAGAACCUCUGAGCUGCAGGAGGAAGCCCAGUAGGUAAAACGGCAUGCUGAGCUGCCUUGGUUUGGCAUCUGAGACUGUUCCCUGUGCCCUGCGGAGUCCUUGGGGAUCCUGGCCAGCACCAGAGAGCCGUUUGAAAAACUGAAAACAAGUCCCAUGUCCAACAACAGUUGAAUGCAUGUCACUUUGUGGUACAGCCAUUCAAUGCAACACUACUCAGUGAUACGAAGAAAUAAAUUAUUGAUACCUCAGUAACAUGGGUGAAUUUCCAAGUUGUUGUGCUGAGUGGAAAAAGCCAGACAAAAAUGAGUUCAUCCUGUAUUAUCAUAUUUACAUAAAAAUCUAGGAGCGGCAAACUAAUUGACAGUAGCAGAAAGCAGAUGUGUGGGAGUGGGAGUGGCGGGAGGGGUGGGAAGAAAUUAGCAAGGAGCCCGAGGGAACUUUCCGAGGCAAUUAAGGUCAUCACUCUCUUGUUUGUGUGAUGGUUUCAUGAGUGUGUGGUGUGUGCGCACAUCUUUAAAAAUUACGUAUGGGCUAAAAUCAUGUGCAGUUUAUUGAAUGAAAUUAUACUGCAUUAAUGCCAUUUAAAAAAAAAACACUCAAUAGUCAAAAACUGGUCUUUAACAGGAAGUAGAGACAGGAGGUGAUGUGCUCAAGUUCACCCAGAGCAGAGGAUCCCCUCUGCAGCCCGCACGACCCUGAGCAGUGGACCAAAUGAUGGGCCAUCUCCUGAGUCCAGCCCCCGGCCCUGCCCCCCGCACCCUGGGGACUAGUGUGGCUUCUCGCCAGCCCUGGGGAUGUCAACACUGAGCAACGUCUUGGAUUAAGUACACACGAAAAAAUAUUUGAACAGAACGUGCUCACUGAGUGAUUUUAACUGGCAAGCAGUAAGUGAUUUCUAUGUGUGGCCUCACGUAACCCCCACAACCACCCUGUCAUCACAUCUUUUGCCUAUGGACAUCAAGUGCUUACAGGUGCCAGAGGAACUUGGACUCUGUCCCAGGCAGUGUGUCUUCACGGCUUCUUCCCGUUAUUCCGCCUUAAGAUUUUACAUCCCUUACAUGCAGUUCACUUGACAGACAAAAAGGUUUUCAAGAUAUGGGGUCUAAGGCAUCCCCUGGUAGCCUAGCAGUUAAGGAUCUGGCGUUGUCAUGGCUGUGGCUCAGGUUCAGUCUCUGGCCUAGCAAUUUCUGCAUGCCACGCGGGCGGCCAAAAAAAAAAAAAAAAAUUUAUGUGUGUGUGUGUAUAAUAUAUCUAAGAAAGUAGCACAAAGAAAAGGGAUUGCCAAUCUGACCUAACAUCUCCACGUACAGAGGAGGAAAAGUGAGGCC